CGGGUGAGUAAUGUCUGGGGAUCUGCCUGAUGGCGGGGGAUAACUACUGGAAACGGUAGCUAAUACCGCAUAAUGUCUGCGGACCAAAGCGGGGGACCUCCGGGCCUCGCGCCAUCAGAUGAACCCAUAUGGGAUUAGCUAGUAGGUAAGGUAACGGCUUACCUAGGCGACGAUCCCUAGCUGGUCUGAGAGGAUGAUCAGCCACACUGGAACUGAGACACGGUCCAG
rnacentral:rRNA from 1 species